CCUCCAGUAGCUCAGCGGUAGAGCAGGGAGGAAAGAUGUUGAGUCUCGUUUCGUCAUCUCCCUGUCGCUGGUUCGACUCCAGCCUGGAGGU